ACUCCUACGGGAGGCAGCAGUGGGGAAUUUUGGACAAUGGGGGCAACCCUGAUCCAGCCAUGCCGCGUGAGUGAAGAAGGCCUUCGGGUUGUAAAGCUCUUUCGGCCGGGAAGAAAUCGUGCAGGCUAAUACCCUGUAUGGAUGACGGUACCGGAAUAAGAAGCACCGGCUAACUACGUCGGACCAGCCGCGGUAAUA
rnacentral:rRNA from 1 species